rnacentral:rRNA from 1 species
GAUGAACGCUGGCGGCGUGCCUAAUACAUGCAAGUCGAGCGAACGGACGAGAAGCUUGCUUCUCUGAUGUUAGCGGCGGACGGGUGAGUAACACGUGGAUAACCUACCUAUAAGACUGGGAUAACUUCGGGAAACCGGAGCUAAUACCGGAUGAUAUUUUGAACCGCAUGGUUCAAAAGUGAAAGACGGUCUUGCUGUCACUUAUAGAUGGAUCCGCGCUGCAUUAGCUAGUUGGUAAGGUAACGGCUUACCAAGGCAACGAUGCAUAGCCGACCUGAGAGGGUGAUCGGCCACACUGGACCUGAGACACGGUCCAGACUCCUACGGGAGGCAGCAGUAGGGAAUCUUCCGCAAUGGGCGAAAGCCUGACGGAGCAACGCCGCGUGGGUGAUGAAGGUCUUCGGAUCGUAAAACUCUGUUAUUAGGGAAGAACAUAUGUGUAAGUAACUGUGCACAUCUUGACGGUACCUAAUCAGAAAGCCACGGCUAACUACGUG